rnacentral:misc_RNA from 1 species
GGUCACUAUGACUUGGUGAGGGAGCUUCUCUACCUUGACACCAAUCUCCUCAUUAAACUGACCUCCCUUCGCAGAAUUCGCCGCCUUGAAACCGUCUGGGAUGACGAGGAACAGUUCAAUGAUGUUGCCAAUUGCCGUGCUUUGGUGGCCAAGAAGCUACUCCUAGAAUGUGAAACAAGGAGAGGUCAUAACACUCUCAUUAGAGCUGGCUAUGGUGGUUGGCUCCUGUACACUGCUGCCUCAGCCGGUGAUGUGAGCUUUGUCAUGGAAUUGUUGGAGAGAGACCCUCUUCUUGUUUUUGGGGAGGGAGAAUAUGGUGUUACUGACAUACUUUAUGCUGCAGCC